GCCGUGAUCGUAUAGUGGUUAGUACUCUGCGUUGUGGCCACAGCAACCCCGUUUCGAAUCCUGGUCAUAGCA
rnacentral:tRNA from 1 species